UGUAACUAAACAAAUUAUUCAGUCAUGAACGAUAACAUUUGAUGUUUUUUUUCCUCAAAAACCGGAAGUAAACGAUCAACUCUAAACAGUCACAAUCAAUGGAACGCUCGCGCACAUUUUUUCGAUGACGCGAAUACUUCGUCUGCGGACAUGUUGAUCCAUGAGAAAGUCACGAUUAUUUUUCUAAUCCAUUGUCAAAGAAAAGUGUGCACAGACAGGUGAUUGGAGGCGGGCUACAGUGCAAAAGGAACCUCUCACCCAAACGUCACGUCAUUGGCGUCCACAGCCUGUUCGUAUUCUACAGUCCGAGGCGUGCGGGGACAGGCGAUUGGAGACAGGACCUCUUGCCCAGUCAUCACGUUCCUGUCGUCCACGUCGCUGCUGUUGAUUUCUGGUAGAAGUAGACUUCCUGAUCUUGUAUUCCACGGUCCCAGGUACAUAAAUUAUACUAAUACUAUGUAUUACUUCGUAUUUAUACAAAGAAACGCUCACAUCAUUAACUUUUGCAAUUUUAGCUCGACUAUAUUAUAUGAAAUAUAUAUAGUAGAGCUAUCCUACUCACCCUGGCGUCAGUGUGCGUGAGUGUUGGAAUGUUAAAGUUUGCGUACUACCUCAAAUAUUUCCUACUUCCUUGACUUAUUGCUUUUAUCUUUUGCAUACUUCUUUACCAACAUGACCCCUAUCUAUAAACAAGAGCAGACAACCGUA